rnacentral:pre_miRNA from 1 species
UUUGGGAGGGGGGUCCCUCAGCCCAGAUUGCAAGAGGGUGCAGGCCAGGCCGAGGGACCCCACCGGUGCACA